UUUGAGAUAUCAGCUGAUGUAAGAAGGGCUAUAUAAAUACAUUGGAUAUGUGGAGAUAUGAAAGGAGAAAUUACUAUUCCUGAAUAUUAUUUUCAAUAGAACACCAGAGUGAAUCUUCAAACCCCUGUAUGAAUAGAACACUGAUGUAGAGGAGGAAUUUGUGAUGUAACACAAAUGUAUAAUGGGCUACUAGAGAUAAAGUAACAUAAUAUUGAGUAUAAUGUGUUACUAGAGAUCUGAGGAAGUAACCAUAUCUAUUUUUGACCAACUUUGCUAGUAACAGUAUGGUGGUACAUGCUAACUCAUGUCUGACUAAAACAGUGUACUAACUAGCAGCAACAAACUCAAACCAACCCAGGGCCAUAUCAAAACACGUCACAGUUAGUUGCAUAGUGUAAUCCUGAAUCUAAUCAAAUCUGGAGGCAGUCAGUCUGUAAAGCAUAGAAUUAGUUUACAAACGAGAUUAUGUUAUUUCUCGAGCUACAGUAUGUUUAUAAUUGAGGGAUGAUGACAAUCAUUGACCCUGUUUUUCUGUUAAACAAACUGCACAGUCAGGUGCCAGACUGAUGCUCUGGUGUUGAACGGAUGCCGGGACCUACCAGAAGGAGCAAAGGCCCUCCCAGUCAACACCACUUCAUAAGAUUGCCUGCUGCAGUUGUUCAAGAGAUGUCCCGUUUGCAGCCGAACAUGCAGCAUAGAGAAGACCAGGAAGGGGGCCGUCAUCAGCUUCGUGCAGACAUGCCCUCACUGUGAGCAUUCCUAUGAAUGGAUUAGUCAGCCACAUAUUGGCGAGUAUGCGGCCAGCAACCUUCACCUGUCAGUGGCAACAGCUUUCACAGGCUCAUCAUUGGUACAAAAACAGAAGGUAACCCACUUCAUUACUUUGAUACAUUUGAGAACCCAAUUGUGAAACAUAAUGUAUGUAAACUGACAUUAUUUGCUGCUUAUUUUCUGCUUCUUAGAUGCAUUUAAUAAUGUCCAUGGGCUCUGGCAAAGACCUCACCUCUUGUCUGCUCACCGACAGUCGUGGAUGGUAGCGUAGGGAAUAUCUGACACACAAACAUAUACUACAGUGCCUUUGGAACGUAUUCAGACCACUUGACUUUUUCCACAAUUUGUUACGUUCUAGCCUUAUUCUAAAAUGGGUUAAAUAAAAAAUAAUCCUCAGCAAAUCUACACACAUUACCCCAUAAUGACAAAGCGAAAACAGGUUUUUAGAAAUGUUUGCAAACGUAUUUAAAAU
rnacentral:lncRNA from 1 species